AGGGAAUCUUCCACAAUGGACGAAAGUCUGAUGGAGCAACGCCGCGUGAGCGAUGAAGGCCUUCGGGUCGUAAAGCUCUGUUGUUAGGGAAGAACAAGUAUCGGAGUAACUGCCGGUGCCUUGACGGUACCUAACCAGAAAGCCACGGCCAACUACGUGCCAGCAGCCGCGGUAAUACGUAGGUGGCAAGCGUUGUCCGGAAUUAUUGGGCGUAAAGCGCGCGCAGGCGGUCCUUUAAGUCUGAUGUGAAAGCCCACGGCUCAACCGUGGAGGGUCAUUGGAAACUGGGGGACUUGAGUGCAGAAGAGGAAAGCGGAAUUCCUCGUGUAGCGGUGAAAUGCGUAGAGAUGUGGAGGAACACCAGUGGCGAAGGCGGCCUACUGGGCUUUAACUGACGCUGAAGCACGAAAGCAUGGGGAGCAAAC
rnacentral:rRNA from 1 species